AGAGACAAUGAUUUCACUAUCACAGUUGCUGUUGAGGAAUGCCUGGUGGAGUCCUCCAUUCUCAUCGGUGAACUGAACUCCGGUUGCUCUUGGCUUCAGUUGCCCUGCAUCAGAAAUGGUGUAUCUGAAAUAUGAAACAAGAGGUUGUAGCCAGAGAAUCCUAAUUGGCAGAAACUUUGGUUUCAUGGUAAUUGAAUGCUACUAUUGAGAACAGUGAAUAAUAUUUAGUGUUCUGCUGCACGUUUCAGCAGACAGCUAUUACUCCACUUGAAGGGUGAACAAAGGUGGCUGCAGUAUGCUAGGGUGGCAGCAGUCAAGCAGAUCUUACCAGUUACCAUUAGUAAUUUCUACUGGCACUAUCACUGCUCUGCAUUUACCCUAGAGCUGAUGUUUGUUCAUGUGAAAGUGAUAGGCCAUGUGUUGCAUAUACUGAGAGACUACUUGGUAUAUUUAAUCUACUUAUGCUAACUUCAUUUUAGGCUCUGCUAUUUGUGCUUGCCCUCUUAUGGUAAAGAAUAUAAUAGUAAAUUAUAUCUGAAGUCUUGAUCAUGAUUGAGACCAUUCUGCACUUCGGCAGUAAAAAAAAAGGUUAAAUUUGCAUGUGUGAACUGUGAAUUCUCUUGCAUAUGUUUGUGUGUAUAUAUUAAUGCUGACCAUUCUGCACUUCGGCAGUAAAAAAAAGGUUAAAUUUGCAUGUGUGAACUGUGAACUCUCUUGGCUGGUCACUCGUAGACGGAAGAGAACAAUCAUAAUCAGAAGCCGGCAUUGAUGCAGGUGCCACCUCCCAACACCCUCGCUCGGGCAUUGAUGACGCCGUCAGUGGAGAUGAAGGCCUGAGACGCCGAGUCCGGCGCCAUAUUGCUCAGGCCAAUGUGGAAGUUCUCCAUGUAGGAGACGUUGCGGUUGCCAUACGGAGACCCUCC